rnacentral:rRNA from 1 species
UACGUAGGGCGCAAGCGUUGUCCGGAAUUAUUGGGCGUAAAGAGCUCGUAGGCGGUCUGUUACGUCCGCUGUGAAAACCCAGGGCUUAACCCUGGGCUUGCAUUCGAUACGGGCAGGCUAGAGUUCGGUAGGGGAGACUGGAAUUCCUGGUGUAGCGGUGAAAUGCGCAGAUAUCAGGAGGAACACCGGUGGCGAAGGCGGGUCUCUGGGCCGAUACUGACGCUGAGGAGCGAAAGCGUGGGGAGCGAACAGG